rnacentral:ncRNA from 2 species
CGUUUAACAUUCGAAUAAUCUCGUAUAAUGUCGGGAAUAUGGCCCGAAUAGUUUCUACCCGAAAACCUUAAAUUUUUGGACUACGAGUAAGCGUUUGAUGAAG